rnacentral:snRNA from 1 species
GCCCUUCGGGGCAUAUUCAAAUGAAAACAUAUAGAGAAGAUUAGCAUCCAUGGAUGGCUCCUGCACUAAGGAUGACACGCUCAAUCAAAGAGAAGCUACCUAUUUUU